GACGUAGGGCGCGAGCGUUGUCCGGAUUUAUUGGGCGUAAAGAGCUCGUAGGCGGCUUGUCGCGUCGUCCGUGAAAACCUGCAGCUCAUCUGCAGGCUUGCGGGCGAUACGGGCAGGCUAGAGUUCGGUAGGGGAGACUGGAAUUCCUGGUGUAGCGGUGAAAUGCGCAGAUAUCAGGAGGAACACCGGUGGCGAAGGCGGGUCUCUGGGCCGAUACUGACGCUGAGGAGCGAAAGCGUGGGGAGCGAACAGG
rnacentral:rRNA from 1 species